GACGAACGCUGGCGGCGUGCUUAACACAUGCAAGUCGAACGGAAAGGCCCUGCUUUUGUGGGGUUCUCGAGUGGCGCAAGGGUGAAUAACACGUGAGUCACCUGCCCUUGACUUUGGGAUCACUUCAGGAAACUGGGGCUACUACCGGUUAGGCGCUCCUGCUGCAUGGUGGGGGUUGGAUGGUUUCGGAGGUUGGGGAUGGACUCGCGGCUUAUCAGCCUGUUGGUGGGGUUGUGGCUUACGAAGGCUUCGACGGGUGGCCGGCCUGGGAGGGUGACCGGCCACAUUGGGACGAAGAUACCGCCCAGACGCCUACGGGAGGCAUCAGUGGUGAAUAGUGCACAAUGGGCGGAAGCCUGAUGCAGCAACGCCGCGUGCGGGAUGACGGCCUUCGGGUUGUAGACCGCUUGCGCCUGUGACGAAGCGGGAGUGACGGUAAUGGGUAAAGAAGCACCGGCUAACUACGUG
rnacentral:rRNA from 1 species